ACAGCGUGACAGCACGGUGGCUUCCUUGCAAGGCCUUACUCCAUACAUAUUGCCUGUCAUGUUACUUUAAGAAGAACGCACUAAAGGAAGAAGCAGAAAAACAACCGACAAGCAACUUGAAGUAGUUCCGAGCCUCCCGCAGGACAGCAGCGAGAAGGAGGAAAACUGUGACGCCACAAUGACACCGCCGGUCACAACAAAGGCAGCUGCACAGGGAUGAGCUCAGCAACAUUGAUGCCAGUAAUCAAUUCCAGCUCACACACCUCAGCUGGAAGGGGACCGCUCCCCACCACUGCUUUUGCUUGUUUCAUUUUAAGUAUUUAAAAUGCUUCAAAGCAAGUUCUUUAUUGUACAAAGUGCUUUGAUACACUAAGCAAAAAUAUUUAAAAUACAACCUAUUUCCAUUUCAUCAGUACUUAAAAAAAAAUAAAAUAGACCAUCCUUAAAAUAUUUAUAACAUAUAUAAAAAUAAAACCUCUAUUGCCUUA